rnacentral:lncRNA from 1 species
UUUCUCUCUCCUUUAUCUUUAAAACAUUUUACAGAUUAUCUUAAACAGGGAGACCCAUAGAAACCCAGAGCUGCCGUGUAGCCCAUUUGCAAGCAGUUAGAUAUGGAAAGUUCCAGUGUCCUUGACAAAGAGAAGGUCUCCUGACCCUCCGAUCAUGUGGAGGACCCCCGUUUCCACUGUCCUGCUGUAUGCUGACCAAGUUCUUCUAUAACCAAGGAUAAUAAAUACCCCUCAUAUCUUCCAAAUUUACAUCUAGAAUGGUGGGACCCUGGAUUGACAUCUGGAACAGUGUUCAUAAAAGAUGUGGCGGAGGAGUGCCUGGCUCAAAGGCAGUUAGCAUGUCCCACAAAACUCCCCUCUCUGCCAACACUCAGGGCCCUGCACAUAGUGGGUGCCUUAUAAACACUGGCUAUAUCACACGUCCUGCUGUUCCAGCAACGAACCUUGAGCCCCGAAAUACCCUGAGCCACAUCCCAUCCCGGUGCUGCUGA